UACAGAGGCCUCGAGCGUUAGGCGGAAUUACUGGGCGUAAAGCGUGCGCAGGCGGUGAUGUAAGACAGUUGUGAAAUCCCCGGGCUCAACCUGGGAACUGCAUCUGUGACUGCAUCGCUGGAGUGCGGCAGAGGGGGAUGGAAUUCCGCGUGUAGCAGUGAAAUGCGUAGAUAUGCGGAGGAACACCGAUGGCGAAGGCAAUCCCCCUGGGCCUGCACUGACGCUCAUGCACGAAAGCGUGGGGAGCAAACAGG
rnacentral:rRNA from 1 species